rnacentral:rRNA from 1 species
GAUGAACGCUGGCGGCGUGCUUAACACAUGCAAGUCGAAUGAAGCACUUUAUUUGAUUUCCUUCGGGACUGAUUAUUUUGUGACUGAGUGGCGGACGGGUGAGUAACGCGUGGGUAACCUGCCUUGUACAGGGGGAUAACAGUUGGAAACGGCUGCUAAUACCGCAUAAGCGCACAGCAUCGCAUGAUGCAGUGUGAAAAACUCCGGUGGUAUAAGAUGGACCCGCGUUGGAUUAGCUAGUUGGUGAGGUAACGGCCCACCAAGGCGACGAUCCAUAGCCGACCUGAGAGUGUGACCGGCCACAUUGGGACUGAGACACGGCCCAAACUCCUACGGGAGGCAGCAGUGGGGAAUAUUGCACAAUGGGCGAAAGCCUGAUGCAGCGACGCCGCGUGAGCGAAGAAGUAUUUCGGUAUGUAAAGCUCUAUCAGCAGGGAAGAUAAUGACGGUACCGGACUAAGAAGCACCGGCUAAAUACGU